UCGGGCCUACGGGGGGCAGCAGUGGGGAAUAUUGGGCAAUGGGCGCAAGCCUGACCCAGCAACGCCGCGUGAAGGAAGAAGGCUUUCGGGCUGUAAACUUCUUUUAUGAGGGACGAAAGAAAUGACGGUACCUCAUGAAUAAGCCACGGCUAACUACGUGCCAGCAGCCGCGGUAAUACGUAGGUGGCAAGCGUUGUCCGGAAUUACUGGGUGUAAAGGGAGCGCAGGCGGGAAGCCAAGUCAGCUGUGAAAACUACGGGCUUAACUUGUAGACUGCAGUUGAAACUGGUUUUCUUGAGUGAAGG
rnacentral:rRNA from 1 species